rnacentral:rRNA from 1 species
CGGACGGGUGAGUAAUGCUUGGGAAUCUGGCUUAUGGAGGGGGAUAACUACGGGAAACUGUAGCUAAUACCGCGUAAUAUCUUCGGAUUAAAGGGUGGGACUUUCGGGCCACCUGCCAUAAGAUGAGCCCAAGUGGGAUUAGGUAGUUGGUGGGGUAAAGGCCUACCAAGCCGACGAUCUCUAGCUGGUCUGAGAGGAUGACCAGCCACACUGGAACUGAGACACGGUCCAGACUCCUACGGGAGGCAGCAGUGGGGAAUAUUGCACAAUGGGGGGAACCCUGAUGCAGCCAUGCCGCGUGAAUGAAGAAGGCCUUCGGGUUGUAAAGUUCUUUCGGUGAUGAGGAAGGUGUUUGUUUUAAUAGAACAAGCGAUUGACGUUAGUCACAGAAGAAGCACCGGCUAACUCCGUGCCAGCAGCCGCGGUAAUACGGAGGGUGCGAGCGUUGAUCGGAAUGACUGGGCGUAAAGGGCACGC